AUGGCUUUGCAGGAGCUGCAAGCUGUUGCCGCCGUCAUGGCCGGCGCCGAUGCCGCGCACGGCUUCGAGUUCCAUGAGGCCACCGUGGAUGCCAUCCAGCUCGGAUUCAACAACGACACUCUGACCUCGACAGCGCUCGUCCAGUUCUACCUAGACAUUGGCCGCCUCAACCCGCUGCUGCACUUCGUCAUCGAGGUCAUCCCGGACGCGCUCCCGCAGGCCAAGCAUGCCGACGCCGAGCGCCACGUCGGCACGGCCACAGGCGCGCUGCACGGGGUCCCUAUCCUCCUCAAGGACAACAUCUCCACCCGCGACGCGCUCAGUACCACGGCGGGGUCGCUGGCUCUCCUCGGCUCUGUGGUGAAGCGUGACACCGGCGUGGUGGCUCGGCUCCGCGCAGGUGCCGUGGUUCUCGGCAAGGACAGCCUGUCAGAGUGGGCUAAUUUCCGCCCAAUCGACAACGGGUGGAGCGCCCUGGGCGGUCAG
rnacentral:rRNA from 1 species